rnacentral:rRNA from 1 species
CGCGGCCUAUCAGCUUGUUGGUGAGGUAACGGCUCACCAAGGCAUCGACGGGUAGCUGGUCUGAGAGGACGAUCAGCCACACUGGGACUGAGACACGGCCCAGACUCCUACGGGAGGCAGCAGUAGGGAAUCUUGCGCAAUGGGCGAAAGCCUGACGCAGCAACGCCGCGUGGGGGAUGAAUGCUUUCGGGUUGUAAACCCCUUUCAGCAGGGACGAAAAUGACGGUACCUGCAGAAGAAGCUCCGGCCAACUACGUGCCAGCAGCCGCGGUAAUACGUAGGGAGCGAGCGUUGUCCGGAAUUAUUGGGCGUAAAGAGCUCGUAGGCGGUUCAGUAAGUCGGGUGUGAAAACUCAAGGCUCAACCUUGAGACGCCACUCGAUACUGCUGUGACUUGAGUCCGGUAGAGGGGUGUGGAAUUCCUGGUGUAGCGGUGAAAUGCGCAGAUAUCAGGAGGAACACCAGCGGCGAAGGCGGCACUCUGGGCCGGUACUGACGCUGAGGAGCGAAAGCAUGGGGAGCAAACAGGAUUAGAUACCCUGGUAGUCCAUGCCGUAAACGUUGGGCACUAGGUAUGGGAUCAUAUCAACGGAUUCCGUGCCGUAGCUAACGCAUUAAGUGCCCCGCCUGGGGAGUACGG